AAACGCCGGACAUCAGUCGAAGACGUCUUCGUCCUGUGCAGAUAUAAGGCGAGACUCCCCGUGAUGCAAAGUGAAGAAAGAAUCUGGUUUCAGUCCCUUCUGUUCCAAAGCCUCUCUGAGUUGAAGAGGUGGAUCGAGGUAUGCUCCGAUAGGGAUUGCUGCAAGGUCAAAUGGUCCAAAGCGUCGUCCUAUUUCCGCAAAGGAAGAACAGUAGCCAGUGUCGCCAGCAAAGAAGAAACGAUGGUCUGGACCCAAAACGGUCCAGCUGCUCCAUAAAGACUGGAAAAAAAUGUUUAAAUAAAAAAGACCUGAAUUUUAUCAACUCUGUUUUGAAUUCAAGAUAAAGGUUUAAACCACAUUUGUUCUCCUAUAAAAAUGACAAAGUUCUGCUGUUGGGUUGUUUAGGGUAAAUGUUACUUCACUAAAUCUUAUUAAACAAGUAAGCAAUAA